UGUUGAAUGAUUCACUUUCAGCCCAUUUCUGCUAGAAUUCAGAUAAAUGAAUUGAUUGGUUGGUUUUUUCUUUUCCCUUUUUAAUCUGAGUUUUGAAAGAUUGGUAAUUAUUUAGUCUUUGUUUCUUGUUACUGCUAACCAAGGAUUUGUUUGGUGUUUUUAACAUUGUUUUUAGAAAACAGAAGGUGUCAAACCCAAACUAGGUUUCAUAACAAUGCCAUUACAUAACCAUCCAAUUAGUAGCUCGUUCACUGCUAUUAAUAGAAGCUUCCACAUCUAAAUUUCUUUGUGCAGUGCUACAAUAACUGGCAAGAAGAGGCUUCCCAUUAGUUAUGCAUUUUCAGAAGAGAAUAAAUGAACUUCAUGGAGUUUUAUGAGAUGCAGAGUAAUGUGUGGUUUAUUAGUUGCCAGGCUGUCCCAAUGACGUUUGCCUUUCCGGGCUCACGGGAGAUGUUCAGACCCAGUGGACUGUUGUUGAAAGCCUCAUCUGUACAUACACAACAUAAAAGGCUACUAGAGACAGAGCUCAGACCAAGUCAUAAAAAGGAGCUGCUGCCCUGAACCACAGAAGAUGCAAGUUAGGACAGUACUAUGAUUCAGACUGGGUAAACUAAGGAACCAUAAUAUGACACAGUUACAGUGUUGGAUGGAUAAAUCUCAAUGACAGCACUUAGAAACAUGCUUUCAUACCUUGGAAAGUCUUCUA